rnacentral:rRNA from 1 species
GACGAACCGGGCGAACGUUGUUCGGAAUUACUGGGCUUAAAGGGCGCGUAGGCGGAUUGCCAAGUCAGGGGUGAAAUCUCUCAGCUCAACUGUGAAAUUGCUUUUGAUACUGGCAGUCUUGAGUGAGGUAGGGGCAUGUGGAACUCUAGGUGGAGCGGUGAAAUGUGUUGAUAUCGGGAGGAACUCCGGUGGCGAAAGCGGCGUGCUGGACCUCAACUGACGCUGAGGCGAGAAAGCGAGGGGAGCAAACGGG